rfam:Halorhabdus tiamatea SARL4B complete genome
CCUGUUUAGGCAGGACGGAAUGUGGCCGCCUCGCGGCUGAACCACCCA